GUAGAAUCUAUAGUAACUCUGGCCAGAAUCUGACGCGACCACACCACAAGAAAAGUGCGUAGAAGAAUUCAACAAAACCAAAGAAUUACCCAUGACAAGAGGUUGGUCCACCAACGGAGGGAUCCUAAUUUGAGGAAGGAAGAGGCAGUGGAGACAUUUGUACUGCAUGCGGAUCACCUUAGCCAGGUGGAGAAGAAGAAGUAGGGACCACCCAGAGGAACAUCGGGUGAAAAAUAUACGACAACGGUUUUGCCCGUUUCUUUUUUGCCUGCAGAGCUGGCUCCCCAGCCAAAACUAGAUCACGAACGAGAUAGCCUUCUAGCUUGACAAUCAUCCAUUGUCCCCUAGCGUCUGGCAUCUGUGCAAACCAGGUCUCAUAACCGCAUUGACAGUUCAUAUACCCUAGCCAACCACACAUAAAACGAACGGUGGCAAGUUUUCAUAACGACGAUCGACCCAAAAGGGUCACUCUCCCGCAAUCUUCGCUUCAAUUAUACCAUGAAAUCUUGAGAGCAGAUCCACCCUAACCACAGACUUCAUGAAUCUCGACCCUUGUGCCCUUGGUCGCGCUGAAAAAACUACAAUUUGAUGGACUAACCCAAGGGGGCGCAUAAUGUUCGCCCCGAAAUCCGCCGAACAGCAGUGAGGCGAAACCAUCAAUUGAAUGGACUAACUCCAAGGUUACUCCCGUAGGACAGUAUCCUGAACAGCUACCAUAGGGAAGAGAAACUGGGAUUCAACUUCCAUUGCCUCACCAUCUCCUGAUGAACUGCAUGAGUGGCCUUAAAAAGUGGCCAAGCGAUGCAGCCAACUAAGCUUAGUUUGCAUCCAUCUCUACUCGAUUGAACAUUAGCCUCUGUGAAGUCCACAUACAAGUUUGGUGGUAACGCCUCCAUUGAAAAGGCACCAUGAAUAGAUUGCACCAAAUAAUUGCUGAGAAAGGGCAAGCAAGAUGAAUUGGUGAAGAGGAAAAACGAAACAGACGAGGAUACAAAACCCAAGAGUAGAUCUGUACCUAAUAUAGGCAUCAAAGCGCACCAUGGAAGUGUAGUUGAGUGGAUAAGCCCCAAGAUAACUGUCGAGAUAACUCCCCAUAAAACUACCUGAAAUCAAUUGCCGAUUUCAAACUCCCUAGAAAUCUGGGUGAAGGCGAGCGACAAAUGCGUAGGAAACCCGAUAGAUCGAGCACCAAACAACCAUGAAAAGAAAAAUGGAGAUGGUGCAAACUGAAAUUCUACCAAUAAACCCUGAGAUUGAAGGAAGAGGCAAAGCAAAAUCGAAGAAGAAGGCGGAAGACGGAAGACGGGCAGGGGAGGCAGAGAAAGAAAGGCGGGGUGGCGGCGGAGGGAAGAGGGGAGCACGAGGGGGAGAGAGAAGCCUCGAGAAC
rnacentral:lncRNA from 1 species